GGUUUCCCCAUGUGAGAGUAGGUCAUCGUCAAGA
rnacentral:rRNA from 6 species